AUUGAACGCUGGCGGCAGGCCUAACACAUGCAAGUCGAACGAGUGGCGGACGGGUGAGUAAUGUCUGGGAAACUGACCGAUGGAGGGGGAUAACUACUGGAAACGGUAGCUAAUACCGCAUACCAUCGGAUGUGCCCAGAUGGGAUUAGCUAGUAGGUGGGGUAACGGCUCACCUAGGCGACGAUCCCUAGCUGGUCUGAGAGGAUGACACGCCACACUGGAGCUGAGACACGGCCCAGACUCCUACGGGAGGCAGCAGUGGGGAAUAUGGCACAAUGGGCGCAGGCCUGAUGCAGCAAUGCCGCGUGUAUGAAGAAGGCCUUCGGGGUGUAAAGUACUUGCAGCGAGGAGGCGUUACUCGCAGAAGAAGCACCGGCUAACUCCGUGCCAGCAGCCGCGGUAAUUC
rnacentral:rRNA from 1 species